ACAUUAGUAGUUCAGUGGUAGAAUUUUCACCUUUCAUGCGGGAGACCCAGGUAUGAUUCCAGGCCAAUGCA
rnacentral:tRNA from 1 species